rnacentral:rRNA from 1 species
CAGUAGCCACGGUAAUACAUAGGGUGCGAGCGUUAAUCGGAUUUACUGGGCGUAAAGCGUGCGUAGGCGGCUUUUUAAGUCGGAUGUGAAAUCCCUGAGCUUAACUUAGGAAUUGCAUUCGAUACUGGGAAGCUAGAGUAUGGGAGAGGAUGGUAGAAUUCCAGGUGUAGCGGUGAAAUGCGUAGAGAUCUGGAGGAAUACCGAUGGCGAAGGCAGCCAUCUGGCCUAAUACUGACGCUGAGGUACGAAAGCAUGGGGAGCAAACAGGAUUAGAUACCCCGGUAGUCCCUGUCUCUUAUAU